rnacentral:rRNA from 1 species
UUGAACGCUGGCGGUAUGCUUAACACAUGCAAGUCGAACGGAAACGAUACUAGCUUGCUAGUAGGCGUCGAGUGGCGGACGGGUGAGUAACGCGUAGGAAUCUGCCUGAUAGUGGGGGAUAGCCCGAAGAAAUUCGGAUUAAUACCGCAUAAUCUAUUCGUAGUAAAGUGGGGGACUUUCGAGCCUCACGCUAUCAGAUGAGCCUGCGUAAGAUUAGCUUGUUGGUAGGGUAAAAGCCUACCAAGGCGACGAUCUUUAGCUGGUCUGAGAGGAUGAUCAGCCACAUCGGGACUGAGACACGGCCCGAACUCCUACGGGAGGCAGCAGUGGGGAAUAUUGGACAAUGGGGGCAACCCUGAUCCAGCAAUACCGCGUGUGUGAAGAAGGCCUGAGGGUUGUAAAGCACUUUCAAUUGUGAAGAAAAGUUAGCGGUUAAUAACCGUUAGCCUUGACGUUAACUUUAGAAGAAGCACCGGCUAACUCCGUGCCAGCAGCCGCGGUAAUACGGAGGGUGCAAGCGUUAAUCGGAAUUACUGGGCGUAAAGCGUGCGUAGGCGGUUUAUUAAGUCAGAUGUGAAAGCCCCGGGCUUAACCUGGGAACUGCAUUUGAAACUGGUCAACUAGAGUAUGGUAGAGGAAAGUGGAAUUUCUGGUGUAGCGGUGAAAUGCGUAGAUAUCAGAAAGGAACAUCAAUGGCGAAGGCAGCUUUCUGGACCAAUACUGACGCUGAGGUACGAAAGCGUGGGUAGCAAACAGGAUUAGAUACCCUGGUAGUCCACGCCGUAAACGAUGAUAACUAGCCGUUUGGGGGGGAUUUACCCUUUAGUGGCGAAGCUAACGCGUUAAGUUAUCCGCCUGGGGAGUACGGCCGCAAGGUUAAAACUCAAAGGAAUUGACGGGGACCCGCACAAGCGGUGGAGCAUGUGGUUUAAUUCGAUGCAACGCGAAGAACCUUACCUGGUCUUGACAUCCUGCGAACUUUCUAGAAAUAGAUUGGUGCCUUCGGGAACGCAGUGACAGGUGCUGCAUGGCUGUCGUCAGCUCGUGUCGUGAGAUGUUGGGUUAAGUCCCGUAACGAGCGCAACCCCUAUCCUUAUUUGCCAGCACAUCAUGGUGGGAACUAUAAGGAGACUGCCGGUGAUAAACCGGAGGAAGGCGGGGACGACGUCAAGUCAUCAUGGCCCUUACGACCAGGGCUACACACGUGCUACAAUGGGAAGGACAAAGAGCCGCGAAGCCGCGAGGUGUAGCUAAUCUCAUAAACCUUUUCGUAGUCCGGAUUGGAGUCUGCAACUCGACUCCAUGAAGUCGGAAUCGCUAGUAAUCGUAGAUCAGAAUGCUACGGUGAAUACGUUCCCGGGUCUUGUACUCACCGCCC